rnacentral:ncRNA from 1 species
CAUAAGCAGUGGCUUGGUUAAGGGAACGGAACCCACCGGAGCCGUAGCGAAAGCGAGUCUUCAUAGGGCGAUUGUCACUGCUUAUGGACCCGAACCUGGGUGAUCUAUCCAUGACCAGGAUGAAGCUGGAUGAAACUAAGCAAAGGUCCGAAGCGACCGAUGUUGAAGAAUCAGAUGAUGAGUUGUGGUUAGGGGUGAAAUGCUAAUUAGUAUUUGUUUAUAGACUGG